AUUUCAUAUGUUCAAUUUUCUGUACAUAAUAGAAGGCUGUGCCUUUUGUUCACACGCUGACAAUCACACACGCUUGAAUGAAAUCAACCAGGGGAGUGGGGAGAGGAGAAAAAAGAAAAAAAAGGCAGAGCGUUAACACUGCUGCCUUAUGUUUUUUUUGUGCAAGAAAGGAAUUUCUGAAACUAAUUUUGUACUUUGCACAGCCCAGUUGUCCCAUGUAACUAUAAUACUACCAAUUAGAUAAGAAAUAAAGGUAAACCUCUUCACAUGCAGCGGUUAGAAAAUACAGUCAUUAAAGUGAACCACUUGUAAGCAGUCACUGUGGAUUUUAGUAUCAAAAUCAGUGAAUCCUAAGGUGGUGUGUUUGUCUUUCAGUAAGAAAGCAGGAGAGCGCAAGGGCUCAAAGUCCCAGCUAAAGCGGUUUUCGAACUCCUUGUGUUGUAAGAAGUUUAAUGUCACCUCAACAGUUUCCAGUGCAGUCUGAACAGAGAGACAGUGUUUUUGCAUGCUUCUAAAUAUAUAACUGGAGACGUUUGAGGGCUGAUCAGCCCCUGAGGUGCACUCUCUGUGCUUUGCAACCUCUACACCACCCCUUCAAUGAAACUGGUGUCCAGGUGAACGAUGAGCAUUCUCAGGAAGGACAUCUCCUUGCGGGUGUUCUCGAAGAUGAUCCGUGGGUCGUCGGACUGGCAUCGGAGGCAGUUGGGAGCCAUCACCAUGGCCAGGUUGUUCACAUCCAUCUUGGUAAUUGCGACAUUGGAUGGCUGAGCGAAUACCUGGAGAUAAAAGUGAAGGAGGGAGAGGAAAAGCAAUCAGCCCUGUGAUAGACUGGUGACGUGUUCAGGGUGUACCCCCACCUCUUGCCCUACAGCUGGGAUAGGAUUCAGCACCCCCAUGACCCCGACAAGGAUAAGCGAGAGAGUACGGAUGGAUGCUCUCAUUGUAAAUGUGUGGCGUGAACUAAGAGGAGUAGGUAUUUUGUUUUUUAAAAAUAGUAUGAUUAAGGACAAGCAAACUUGAUUAAGACUGUAAUUCACUGUGAAUAAUAUAAAUGUUUACUAUUAGGACAGUAAACAAAUCUAACACUAGGUAUGAUUAACACUGUUCAAGAACUUUUGUCUUGUUUUUUAAUCUGGUGGACUACAUUAAAAAGGUCUGCUCAUGACAAAGUGCUCUGUAAAAAAGGCUCAAUUAAGCCAAAGUCAUCCGACACCUUUUCAGUCAAUACUUUGUCUUCAUUCCAGUUUUUGAUUCAUCAUUGUUUUUGUUUUUUUCACUUCUGCAUUGCAGUUCUUUUUGAAUGUGUGGUACUUUCACUUACAGACAA